rnacentral:lncRNA from 1 species
UUGGAGGUGUACUACAAAUGACACAACUUCAAUCUCAUUGAGGUCAUGGAAUUUGUGUAAACAAAACUGUACUCUUUUUAGGUUAGAAGAUAUUGAUUGAAUGCUAAUGAGCACUAUGGACCGAUUUUCUUCUGAUUGAAUGCUAAUGAGCACUAUGGACCGAUUUUCUUACUUCUUAUGACGAUACUUGUCUUAGUUGUAAGGUUUACCCCUUAUUUCUUUGAACCAAGACUGAUUUAUUUUUGUUAUCCAUAAUCUUCCUCUUGUGCAUGUUUCUCUCUUUGCUGGUCCUCCUUACAAAUGUCAUGAUAAAGUCAUUAUGUCCAAUUCUUUGCAGCCCUUUGUUCACCUUAUCCAUUCUUCCCUUUUUGUAGCUGAC